rnacentral:rRNA from 1 species
UACAGAGGUCUCAAGCGUUUGUUCGGAUUCAUUGGGCGUAAAGGGUGCGUAGGCGGCGGGGUAAGUCUGGUGUGAAAUCUAGGAGCUCAACUCCUAAACUGCACUGGAUACUGCUCUGCUAGAGGACUGGAGAGGAGACUGGAAUUCACGGUGUAGCAGUGAAAUGCGUAGAUAUCGUGAGGAAGACCAGUGGCGAAGGCGGGUCUCUGGACAGUUCCUGACGCUGAGGCGCGAAAGGCC